ensembl:lncRNA
GCGGCUUUUACAGCACUGGGUCUCUGCAGUGCAGGUGGCCAGCAGCCCUUAGCCCGCAACCUGGGAGGAGUGGAACGCCUCUAGGGAGACUCUUCAUGAACAGUUUUUCCCAGCAUCGUAGGGGGUGGUUUUCCAGCAAGUUUCACGGGGCGUGCACAGCAUUUGAGUAACUUCUCUACCAUCCAAUGAGCCCCAGCCAUUUCCUCUCCAACAGCUGUGCCAAUUAUUUCCCACCAGCAGUGCCUGAAAUCCUGAACUGUUACCCCAACUCUUGAUGCUCUAGGGUCAGAAUGUUACUUGAACACACAAAAUCAAAAGAUUUUUACUGCUUCUUAUCAACUUAGGGACUGAAAAGUGUUUCUCUUCAUGAGAGGAGAGGAACAGUUCCUUAGAUAAUAGUAACCAAAAAAUUACAGUUGGAAUAAAGAAGCAUUGAUUUCCUGGAGAAAAGAAAAUCAUUUCGUUGCCUUAACAUACUGUAAGACCGCAAACAUUGUCCUAACACUGAUCAUGAAGACCAGCUUCCUGUCUUCACCAAGACUUGAACGUUCUACCUUGUCAGAAGCACUGCUUCUGAGAGUUUUAUUUUCCACCUAAAUGGGCUGUUUUCAUCUCCCAUGUCAUCUCCUGAAGAUCUCUGG